rnacentral:lncRNA from 1 species
UGCCAAGGGAGAAAACAGAAAAGAUUCAGGACGGGCUGCAGCUCUGUUGCGCCGGCAGGAAGCGCCUUCCCUGCCAGUCCUCCUGAUAAAGUGAGAGGUGCGGAGGACCAGCCCUUUUCAUUCCCCUGAAGGCAGGGAGAUCUUCCUAACCCAGAAUCCAAAAUGCUGCAGUUCCAGAAGGGCCUGCCUGUGGUUCCAGGCAAACACCAGGCAGCUCCAGAGCACAGGGUGGGUCUGGCAGGCAGCUGGGAGCAUGUUAUGGACUCGGGCUGGAAGGGGAAUGAGUUUCCUUUCCCUACAGCAGCUGUCCCAGUGCCCUGCUGCUUGCAAAUGUCCUGAGUGACCAGUCUGGGCUCCCUGUCCAGUGCACCCCGACAUGUUCCCUGGGAUGAAUUCCCAGCGACAUGUUCCCUGGGAUGAAUUCCCAGCGUCUCCCUCUGCUCCUGUCACAUGCUGUUUUGAGGAACCAUCCCUGGCUCCCUGUUGAUGAUUCCUGAUGUACGGGCUGCCCAAGCACAACCCCUUCAGGCGUGGGAAGCCGACUUCCUUCCCGGCGGGUGGAAACAGCCAGUGAGCAGAGUGUUUUGGGGGGUCCUCUUGUCUGUUCCUACAGGGCAUUCACUGGUGACCCACACUGACACUGCUUUUUGGAGGACAAGGCAGAGUUGACCAUCCCAGUCUUGCCUGGAGGUCAUAGGACCGUUGUCACUGCAGCCUCAGGUCUGAUGCAUAAUCCCAUGACCCUCCAGAUCUGAGCCAUGACCCACUCUGGGCCCUGCCGGCGGGGAGGCGGUGGGCCCAUGGGGGCUGCCUCACUGGCCUCCCUCGUCCUCUAUUCCGGGUUGGGGUUGGCUCUCAGCACACUGGGGAAAAGGGUGGGGUCGAUGACUUGUCCCUGGCUCCCUCCCCUUGCCCCAUGCCUGCCAUAACCGCAGCUUCAGAGAAAGGUGCCACACUCGCUUGGCUGACAAUGUCGGGGAGUCCCCUGGGCUCCACACCAGGGCGUGUGCCCUUGGAAAACCACGGUGACUGAAUCAUGUCCCUUUCAGCCAAAACUGGAAGACAGCCCAGCUCCCUGCCUUCAGGUGACCAGAUCUCUAAGUCACAUUACUGGCCCCAGGGUCAAGUCCAGGCUCCCCAGCUGGGGUACCUCCCAGGCUGAGUACAGGCCUUGCUCCCUCCUUCCUCCCUGCACGUGCUCUGAGCCUCCAGCCCGACGCCUGGGAUGCCGGUGCCCCUUGGGCCCCAGACCCUACUACUCUUGAGUGACAGGCCUCUUCCUAGGGGUUUCUGUGCAUCCGUCACAUCACCCACGUUAGAGUCCCUUCCUGUGAGGACAGAAGGGCCCUGAAGACAGAGCCGGCCCCUGGUGAGCUCUGCUUUCCCGCACUGACCCCUCCUGGGCUGCAGCUCCCCACCUGGCAGCUGCCGCCCCCCAUGGCCCUGGUCGAGGUCACCUGUCGUUCCCGUCCCCACCACUCACCAAGCGCUCCCAGGUUCUCCGUCUGGAAGACCCUCUGCAGCGGGGGGAUGUAAAUGACCGCCAGCUGCCCCAGGAUGGACCCCAGGACGGAGUAGAGGAACAUGUGGUUCCUGAGAAAGCCGAUCUCAAAUAUCAGCUUGGUCUGCAGGGAGAAGGUCACACGGGGGAUUGUGUGCUGUCCACACCCCAGGUACAGGCAGGGGAGCUCUGACUGCCCACGCUGAGCCAGAGCCGCUCAAUGCUGCGGGCAGGGUCGGGGCGCUGCUGUCGAGAACACACAGCAGCUCUGCAGCGAGGAGGGUCAGCCCGGGUCUCACCUGAGAGCGGCAGGUCAAGGCGUUGAAGAGAUCGAAAAACACAAAACAAGUGAACGUCAUCGUCGUGGUGCGGGGAGUGCUUGCUCUGUCUUCAGGCAUCUGGAAGGUGAGCACAAAGAAGAUAAAGAGGGUCCCGCUGAUGAUGAUGGCCGCGGACAUGAGGAUCUUCAGGAUGAGGGCUCUGCUGAGGAUGGUGUCCCGCACACUCCGUGGUGGCUGCCUGAAGGCGUCUUUGUCAACGGGCUCUACCCCCAAGCUGCUCCGAACAAGACACAGACACUUUGAAAUGAACCAGGAAUGAAAUAAAGGACCCUUGAAACAGCUGUGCCUGAGCCUCCCAGGCCAAGUUGGCACAGGGGGCAGGGCCAGGCAUUUGCUGAACGCCCCCAGGCAUCGCACCUGCCCUCCUCGGCACCUUCCAGAAGCCCCAGAGCCUGGGUCCAUGGGCAGCUGUGCCCCUCCAUCUGUCCCGCAGACAGUGAAGGAAGACCACCCCGUAAGGCCAACCACACACAGUUCCAUACACCCAGAUGAUCUCCAUCACCCCGAGGGGACCCCCCCCAACGUUGCGCCUGGAGAAACAGGCUCCAGGCUCCGCCCUCCGCAGAGCCCCUCAUCAGCUGAGAGAGACCAGCCUCCAGCCAACUCCACACAGCAGGGUUGAGGCUAGACCCGCAGCAGGCGGUAUGGUGGGAGUGGCCGGGUGAGGCCCUGCCGCUCAGACACAGCUGAGGCCAGCUUCCUGGUCCCACUUCUGCUCCCAGGGAGGGCUGGCAGGAGAGGUAACCCUCACACUUGGCUUUGGGGACACAAAUGAGGACUCUCUUUCCCUUGGCAGCUAUCACUGGUGAUAACAGCAGCACUGAGCUCCAGCGGAAGCACUGGCUCUGUGCUCAUACGGUUACGCACACGUGGCCAGAUGGGUCCCCUGACUCCAAAGCGCAUUCCUUCCCCCACACCACUUGGCCAGCUUGUUGAAGGGGAUAUUAAGUGGCGGAGCGGGUGGACUCCUGAGCACCUACUGAGUGGCAAGCCCUUUAUCUCUAGACAUCAGGGAUGAAACACAAACUCCGCCUCCAUGAAACUGAUGUUCUAAAGGGGAGACAGAUCACAAUCAGAUCCAUAAGGAAAAGUGUGUCUGUGUGUAUCUUCCUCUCUAGGGAAAAAUACAGCAGGGUGAGGGGAUUGAGUGGGAGUGCAAUCAGGGAAGACUUCCUGAAGGCAGUGACUGGUGACUGGAAUGAAGCAUGAGAAUGAGCCAUGCAGGUUGCCCAGAGAGAGCAUCCAGGCAGAGGGAGCAGAAAGUUCCAUCCUCACCCAGCUCUGCCGGCCCAGGUACUUUCUCCUCUGCCUUCUACUCCCAGUCUCACUGCAGUGCAACACACUUCAGUUUUCUGGGAACUCCUGAUGGAAAGUGGCUGUAUUUGUUCAUCCCUAUAGCCUUGGGGCACAGCCAGCAGCCCCUGGAGGAAGCCCCGCAGGUGGGUAAAGAGACACAGGGCUCCCAGCCGGCCCUGCCUCACCUCUGCGCCGGUGGCCCAUCCAUGAUGAUGUUGAUCCAUAGGAUCUGCAUGGCGUUGAGGGGGCUGGGCAGGUUGAACACGGUGGACAGAGUGAUGAGACUCAGGGCGGAGAUGCUCCUGCGGGGCA